UUACAAUUUUAUGAGUGUUUAAAAUGUAUUGAAUAUAUGUACAGCUGCAAUGUUUUGAUCACACUAUUGCUGUAGUGACAAUAACGGAGUUAAAAUUAUAUUUUUUGGAUAUCUGGCAAAUAAACUAACAAAUAUCUCCAUGCUCAAUUUUUGGAGGCAAACACAUUCAGAUUGUAUUCUUUACAAACAAGCUUACUUUACACAUGCACUAUAUAAGAAAAUGGCCAACAGCAGAAAGAAGCUCAUACGGGUUUGGAACAAGAGGAGGACUGCCAUCUGAUCUGGAGCUUUGAUAAGAGAAUCUGAUGAGUGUUCAAUUUCCAGGAAAGGCGGAUGCCUUUGACUUCUGAAUUGACGCUCCUGUGUGGUCUACAAAAUCCCCUCAGAACAGCUAUAUAAUGUAGCUUUUGGGGAUGCCAGAUAAUGUGGACUGGGAGAGCUCUGCAUCUUCAUCAUCACCAUCCUCAACACUGCUGCUGCUGUCUUACACAACUGUCAUUAUCUUGUUGAACAAUUUUCAUUUUUCUUUUUCACCUAUAAGUGGCU